AACCCUUGGCUAUGGGCAGAGAGACACCUGAUCAGUGGUGUUGCUCUUAUAUCAGUCAGGGGCAGAGUAGACUUGAAGUCCUUUGUUCAUCCUAGCUUGGUGUCUGGGUUGUGGCCAGAGCUAUUUCAUGCUUGGGGCACAUAA
rnacentral:snoRNA from 1 species